rnacentral:rRNA from 1 species
UACGUAGGGUGCAAGCGUUAAUCGGAAUUACUGGGCGUAAAGCGUGCGCAGGCGGUUGUGCAAGACAGAUGUGAAAUCCCCCGGGCUUAACCUGGGAACUGCAUUUGUGACUGCAUAGCUAGAGUACGGUAGAGGGGGAUGGAAUUCCGGCGUGUAGGCAGUGAAAUGCGUAGAUAUGACGGAGGAACACCGAUGGCGAAGGCAAUCCCCUGGACCUGUGACUCGACGCUCAUGCACGAAAGCGUGGGGAGCAAACGAGG